AUUGCUUCUUGGCCUUUUGGCUAAGAUCAAGUGUAGUAUCUGUUCUUACCAGUUUAACAAACCUCUAUUUUUAGUUUACUUAAUGAUCAUAAGGUUAACCCUAC
ensembl:snRNA U2 U2 spliceosomal RNA